GUUCCGCGCCGCUCUCUAUCUUCUUCCUCCAUUACCCUCUUUCUCUUUUUUGUUCAUCAAUUUUUAGCCUAAAUUAGAAGAAGCAAAAUGACAUCAAGCAACAAUUCAUCAUGUGGUCUUCAUUGUACUCUCCAUUUAAUCUUACAUAUGCUGCUUGAAUGAUUUUUUCCACUUCCUUUGUCUGUCGAUUGGUCUUAUUCCACUUGCUACAUCAAGUAAUACCACAGUAAAGCUGAAAAUACUGUUAUCUCGGUUUUUUUUAAGAUCUGGUUGAAGCGAUUCUGAUUUUCAUAUGUCCGGUGGUGCUACAUCGUAGAAUUGGAGUUAGCGAUGCCGAAGGAAACCAAUGAAACUGAACAAUCAAAUAUGGUCGGCUUACUGACGAUCGUGGGUGAUGUUGAGGUCUGUGGGCGAGAUGAGGAUCUUGACGUGGAAGGUCAGAAUGAUGAGGAUGACUAUGAUGAUGAUGACAUGGAGGAUGAAAAUUUCGUCCUUGACUAUCCUUCUUUCUUACUAAAAAAGAAAUAUUAAUUAUAAUAUUAAUUGCCAUAUUUAAUCACAAUUUUAAUCAUAAAAAUUAAUUGCCAUAUUAAUUAAGAAAACUGAUUACGAAGGUA